rnacentral:lncRNA from 1 species
GUGAUUGGGACAUUAUAAAACUGGCCACAACUGAAUGCGGUGUAGUUAAGCUGUUAAGAAAUCAGCCUUUCCUAUCCAGCAAAACAGUUAAGUUAGAUGUUAAUGGAAAAACCAUUAAAAAACCCUAUUAUCCCAUGAAGAAAAAAAUGAAUGCACUCAAGCGGAAAAGGAAGACUUAUCGAUUAAUUUUCAGAUGAAGGUUUGUAAACUUAGCUUCAUGAAGUUGACUCUGGUUGCAGAUGCAAAGCGUACAAUAUUCGCAAAGUAAAACGAGAAAGAUGCCGUAGACUAACAACCAAGUAAGAGCUGUGCCA